UUCACAACGGGGAAUUGUCUGGAUAUCUUAUUACCCUCUUCAUGUCCACUUGGGAUGACGAAAAAUUAAAUUUGCCAUUUUUAAAGGAAGGAUACGAGCUAAGGAAACAAAUUUUGGCAAAGCUAUUGACGUUCAAGAAAAAUGACUGCGAAGUCAACAUGCCAGCCGGUGUACUGGAUAUCAUCAACUGUAUCAGGAAUAUCCAAACCAAUAUGAAUGUGAAGACCUGAGGAUGAAAAGGCAAGACCUGAGGAUGAAAACGCAACAAAGGCCAAUAAAGAAGCUUCAUCUAAAACUCACUGUUUAGUUUGUCUUUGCUUUCAGAAACUACAUAUGUAUAGCCGAGUGUGAUGUUUUUGUUUUUGUCCAAAACCUGAUACUUCACUU